GUCUAUGGCCAUGCUACCCUGAACAAGCCCAAACCUGUCUGAUCUUGAAAGCUAAGCAGGGUCGAGCCUGGUUAGUACUUGGAUGGGAGACCACCUAGGAAGACCAGGUGCUAUAAGCA
rnacentral:rRNA from 1 species